rnacentral:rRNA from 1 species
CCCUUAGAUGUUCUGGGCUGCACGCGCGCUACACUGAUGCAUCCAACAAGUUUUCUCCCUUGUUCGGUAGGACUGGGUAAUCUUUUGAGUAUGCAUCGUGAUGGGGAUAGAUUAUUGCAAUUAUUAAUCUUCAACGAGGAAUUCCUAGUAAGCGCGAGUCAUCAGCUCGCGCUGAUUACGUCCCUGCCCUUUGUACACACCGCCCGUCGCUCCUACCGAUUGAGUGCUCAGGUGAAUAAUUCGGACUGCAGCAAUGUUUGGAUCCCGAACGUUGCAGCGGAAAGUUUAGUGAACCUUAUCACUUAGAGGAAGGAGAAGUCGUAACA